UUCGCUUCGUGACAGUGUGACUGUCUGUGCACCAUGGAAGUUCAUCGCGAGCAGAAGGCUCAGGGUAGGGUUGCACCAGCCAUUCGUCUAUGCAGAUUUUAAAAGAAUCACUGGAAGAAUCAGCACUCAACUUUCCACAAAACCUUGGAAGUCCGUGCUAAAGAUCUGAUCAGGAUGUAUCAAUCCAGAAGAGACUACAGAUAUAGCCAUGCAUCUAUGAAGGGGAACAAGUGAUUUUCUCCACAGGAAUUCACAAACUGAAAAUACCUAUGUUUUGCGUCGUUUUUUUUUCAAUGGGCUAAGGCAAAUAGCUUUUUUUGUAGUUCAGCUAAUAAGUUUGGUGUUGUAUUUCAAAUGCAAUGUCCUUCAACAGGAGCACUUAAUCAUGUAUGUUUAGUCUAU